CGAUGAACCACUUCGGUGGGGAUUAGUGGCGAACGGGUGAGUAACACGUGGGCAAUCUGCCCUGCACUCUGGGACAAGCCCUGGAAACGGGGUCUAAUACCGGAUACUGAUCACUGCAGGCAUCUGUGGUGUUCGAAAGCUCCGGCGGUGCAGGAUGAGCCCGCGGCCUAUCAGCUUGUUGGUGAGGUAAUGGCUCACCAAGGCGACGACGGGUAGCCGGCCUGAGAGGGCGACCGGCCACACUGGGACUGAGACACGGCCCAGACUCCUACGGGAGGCAGCAGUGGGGAAUAUUGCACAAUGGGCGAAAGCCUGAUGCAGCGACGCCGCGUGAGGGAUGACGGCCUUCGGGUUGUAAACCUCUUUCAGCAGGGAAGAAGCGAAAGUGACGGUACCUGCAGAAGAAGCGCCGGCUAACUACGUGCCAGCAGCCGCGGUAAUACGUAGGGCGCGAGCGUUGUCCGGAAUUAUUGGGCGUAAAGAGCUCGUAGGCGGCUUGUCACGUCGGUUGUGAAAGCCCGGGGCUUAACCCCGGGUCUGCAGUCGAUACGGGCAGGCUAGAGUUCGGUAGGGGAGAUCGGAAUUCCUGGUGUAGCGGUGAAAUGCGCAGAUAUCAGGAGGAACACCGGUGGCGAAGGCGGAUCUCUGGGCCGAUACUGACGCUGAGGAGCGAAAGCGUGGGGAGCGAACAGGAUUAGAUACCCUGGUAGUCCACGCCGUAAACGGUGGGCACUAGGUGUGGGCAACAUUCCACGUUGUCCGUGCCGCAGCUAACGCAUUAAGUGCCCCGCC
rnacentral:rRNA from 1 species